rnacentral:rRNA from 1 species
CUACGGGUGGCUGCAGUGGGGAAUAUUGCGCAAUGGGCGAAAGCCUGACGCAGCAACGCCGUGUGAGGGAUGAAGGCUUUCGGGUCGUAAACCUCUGUCAGAAGGGAAGAACGGGUAUUGGUCUAAUAGGCCUUUAUUUUGACGGUACCUUCAGAGGAAGCACCGGCUAACUCCGUGCCAGCAGCCGCGGUAAUACGGAGGGUGCAAGCGUUAUUCGGAAUUACUGGGCGUAAAGCGCACGUAGGCCGCUUUGUAAGUCAGGGGUGAAAUCCCACGGCUCAACCGUGGAACUGCCUUUGAAACUGCAGAGCUUGAAUCCUGGAGAGGGUGGCGGAAUUCCUGGUGUAGGAGUGAAAUCCGUAGAUAUCAGGAGGAACACCGGUGGCGAAGGCGGCCACCUGAACAGGUAUUGACGCUGAGGUGCGAAAGUGUGGGGAGCAAACAGGAUUAGAUACCCGGGUAGUC